rnacentral:lncRNA from 1 species
AUGAUCUCCAGUUGUUCACUCUUCCUGUGGUCUCAUACCCGGCCACCUGCAUUUGGUGGUGCUGCCUGCCAGGUGGCUUCUCAGGGCUUUGUUCUGGCACUGAGCCAUGAAUCUACCAAGGAGCAAACCCCUCCAGAAAACCUGUCAUUUUCACAUGGAACUUUUGAUGAUGGUGAAGACUUGAAGUGGGUUUCUACAGAAUCAGAGGUCCGGGAGUGUCAGAGUCGCCUGAACACCAGGAGGGCGUCUGGGUACCCAGGACGGCGGCAAGUCAGGACAGUGGCCACGAGCCAGACCAGCAGUAGAGGAGCCUUCUAAGUAAGUAUUUCUGAGUAACUUUGAAAAUUACAUGUCAUUUGUGUACAGUCCCCCAUUAUCCUCGCUUUUACUUGCAGCAGUUUCCUUUCUGUGGUCAACUGAGGUCCAAAAAUAUUAAAUGGAAAAUUCCGGAAGUAAAUAACUCAU